GUUACGACUUCCAGCAAAUGUACCAAGUACGGUCCAAAUCAGUAAAAACCUGAUAUAGCCCACAGGUAAACCGAUCUCCCGAUUUGACUUCCUGAGCCCCUGCAAGCCGCAAUUUUCGUCCGAUUUGGCUGAAAUGUUGCACAUAACGUUCUUUUAUGACUUCCAACAGCCGUGCUAAGUGCGGUCUUAAUAGGUUAAGAAAUAGAGCUCCCACAUAAACCGAUCUCCCGAUUUCAUUUCUUGAGCCCCUGGAAGGCUGAAAUUUUGCAUGUGAUGUUCUGUUAUGGCUUCCAAUAACUAUGCUAAGUAUGGUUCAAAUCGGUCGCACUAUUUUACUUCUUAUUACCCAGUCCGAGAGAGAAGUUCUUUUUGUUAAUGUUCUCACCGGGAUUUGAAUCCAGGCGCACAGCGUCAAAGGCGGACAUGCCUCUGAGCUACAUUGGCCCCUAGUUUAAAAGCAGAGCAAAUUUUAAUCUUCUUUAUUCUCAAGAAAAAUCAAUAAAAAUAUUGAUAAUUACUGUUUGCAUUAUUAUUGUAUAGGUAGGUUUGAAAUUUUUAUUGCGUUGUUUUUUUUUUUGUGUAACGCCUUAUUAAUUUUUCAUUACAUUAUCGUGACGGAAAAUAUUUACAUUUACAAAUUGAAGUAUUACGUUGCGCAGAAAAACAAUUGUAAACAUUAUAUAACUGACGAUAACAAACAUAUACAAAAGUAUAAAAUGAAGAGAAAGGGAGUCGCGCUAAAUUUGCAAAUAAUUCUAAUCAAGUCACCAAAGAAAGGCGACAUCAAAACAAAAAAAAAAAACUAUUAUGAUUUUUUUUUUUUAAUUUUCAUUUAAAAAUGAUCUUUUGAUUGUCCUGUAUCAUUAAAAAUUAUUUAUGAUUAAAAUUUUAAAAAUUUUCCACACUUUCUUAACUUAUAAAGUCGUUGCUUCCACUAAUUUUUUUCUUAAGAACAGCCACUUUUGCACUUGAUGUGAUGGACACCUUAUUAAAUGGCCUAUAUCUAUAUUUACAAAUGUUUUCUAUUUGCAUUCAAAUUCUACCGAUCGACGCAACUGUAAAGAAAUCCUAAGCGUAUGGAUCGUCAUCUUUUACUAAUCACAGCAAACUGUUUAAAAGACGAGCAAAGGAGCAAUAACCACAACAGCAAACAUUUCUGCGAGUGUUUGUUUACCGAGUGGCAAAUUGUCGAUUGGCAAUUGGUCGAUUAAAAAACGACCACCUUUAACAAGGUUGUGUCUGCUCGAAUUGUAUGAUCGAACAUAAUAAUGCUCUUUAUGGAUGGCUAGACUCUAGCCAAAGAGAAGAGAGUGCAUUUGCUGUCUGCAAUGAUUUUCGUUGCGUUUGUCAAACAUUGUAACCGACCUACGACAACAUGGACGUUAAUAAUUAUUUGUGUUUGUUUGUGUUUAUUUAUAGCAUGCUGCUUGACGGGGGCUUAUGGCCACCGCUGCUCAGAGAGCAGAGAACAGCGAACAGCUCGGAUGCAAUCGAUCAAAUUGACAACAUUAUUGUCUUUUACCGUUAUAACUUGGUAUUUUUUGUGUUUAUAUUUCUUUUUCAUUUGCAUACAUGAUGGAAUGGUAUGCAGGACAGUGGUUAAAAUAAAACAAAACAAAAAUCAGGCAAAUUCCACUUCAAAAAAAAAAAAAAAGUUGAAACUUUUGCAUAUAUAGUGCAAUUUUUAUACGUUGGUUACUUGUUUAAAAAAAAUACUCUGCAUAUCCAAGCAAAUAAAAAAAAUAAUAUAUUAGUACUUAAUUACAAUAUUUUAUUUAUAAUUUUUUUUUCUUUUGAUUUUGCAUACAAUUAUUUUUUCUAUCGGUAUUUAAGGCAAAAAAAAAACUAAUUGUACAUUUGAAUAAAAUAAAUAAAUUAUUUUUUCCAAAAACUUAUUUUUCAAUAUUUGUUUUGCUUUGAUAUUUGUAAGAAAAUAAGUUUAAGCAAAAAUUUUCUUAAAAACAAAAUUAAUGGCAAUUUUGCAUACCUUUUUAAAAUUUUCAAAUUAUUUUGUUUUUAAAGAAAUUUAACUUUAAGAAAAUUUUAAGAACAGUUUGUCUUUAAAGAAAAUGCUGACCAGAGCUUCUUUUUUCAAAUGUUAUGCUCUGAGGAAAUUUCUUAAAAAUUUUAUCUUUGGAAAAAACUGCCUUUAAAAAUAUCCUAAUAUUUUUGACUUCAAAACUUAAUUAUUAAGUCAUUUUAUCCUAAACUUUUUUUUAAAGAUUUUUUGUUCCACUAAAAAAUUGUUUUUAGCUUAUUAAAACAAUUUUUUCAUGAUUUGUGUAUAUAAAAUUUGUCUUUUGAGAAAAAUUUUUUAAAUCGAGAAACUUUUGCUGACAGUUGUGCCUCUAAAUAUUUUUUUAUUGAUAUCUAAGAUUAUUUUUGAAUUUUCUUUGAGAAGUGCAUUUUGAAAAAAAAAAAAGUUGGACUUUUUGUAGAAAUUUUUUUUUGGUUGCAUAGAAGCUUUUUUUGAGAUUUGUAUUUUCUUUUAUAUGUUUUUAAGAAUAUACUCUUUAUAAAAAUUUUGUCUAUGAAGCAAAUUGUUUGGAACUUUAGGACUCAGAAAAGUUUUCUUUAAGAUUUGUAUUUUGUAAAUUUUUUUCAAUAUUAUUAUAAAAUUUCACAGAUAUUUUUUUUUUAAUUUUUAAGAAUUUACUCUUAAAAAAAAUUUGUCUAUGAAGAAAAUUGUUUAUAAAGACUUAUUUAUUUAUUAUUAUUAUUUCUUUCUGGAAAACUUAAGACAUUUUCACCGGUAUUCACAAAGCUUAAUAUAGAUUAAAAAAAAAGUUCAUUAGACAGAUUUCCUUCAUAGAACCUAUUUUAAAGUCUCAUUAAGUUUUGUGAAUGGGGCCGUUUGUGUUCGUAAACAAAUAUUUUAGAAAAUGUAUCUUUAUAAUCGAAUAUUGUCCGGUUGCAGACCGUAGGGUUUAUCUUUCCUAUUACAAAAUGGAAAAUUAAAAACAUAAAGUUAGCAGAAAAUUUGUUUGCUAUAAUAGAAUUCGACUGGUUUCCUAUUGUAGAUCGCGUUUUCGUAUGGCACCACACAAAACUCAGCAAAAAAGAAAACAAAUAUUAUAUAUUCAUUUUUAAUAAAAACUGAGAACCAUACGGUUUCCAGCCGAGCAAUAUCCGAUUGUAUGAAUUAUUUCAAGAUCAAAUAAAUUUAUCGCAAACGUGGAAAAUUUGUCUUUAGAGAAAGAUUUUUUAGUAUUUCAUCCUUUGAGAAAAUUUGUUCGAUAUUCUUAUCAAGUUUUUGGCAUUGUAGAAAAACAAAUCUCCAUAGAUAAAAAUUUUCUUAAAAAAAAACUCUCUGUAAAAACAAAUUUGCCUUAUAUAUGCUCAAAAAGUAACAUUGCUAGAUAGAUCUAUGUGGCAGCUUUAUCAAACUGUGGUACAAUAUGGACCAUUUUGAAACAAAAGUAUAUCUAAUGUAACAAAUUUUUUGAAAUUUCGAACAAAUUUUGUAAAAAAAUAUUCCUUUUGUGAGCUGAAGACGGUAAACUGGAGGUUCACUUAUGAAGAGGCUGUAUAAAGAUAAAGGUCUAAAAUGGACCCCUAUAAUCGAACUGAACCCCACACUGGUUAUACAAAUAAUCUGUAAUUUUUCGGAUUUUGUCGCCAGUGUUCGAAACCGGAGUUUGAGAUUCACAGACGGACAAGUUACUUCUGUGCCACAAAGGCCUCCAAAGUAGUACAGUCUAUGAAUUCGUCCAUAGGCAGGGUAAUAUCUAAGAUAGGCUACA